rnacentral:misc_RNA from 1 species
GAUGAAGAACGUAGUGAAAUGCGAUAAGUAGUGUGAAUUGCAGAAUUCAGUGAAUCAUCGAAUCUUUGAACGCACAUUGCGCCCUUUGGUAUUCCAAAGGGCAUGCCUGUUCGAGCGUCAUUUGUACCCUCAAGCUUUGCUUGGUGUUGGGCGUCUUGUCUCUAGCUUUGCUGGAGACUCGCCUUAAAGUAAUUGGCAGCCGGCCUACUGGUUUCGGAGCGCAGCACAAGUCGCACUCUCUAUCAGCAAAGGUCUAGCAUCCAUUAAGCCUUUUUUUCAACUUUUGACCUCGGAUCAGGUAGGGAUACCCGCUGAACUUAAGCAUAUCAAUAGCGGAGGA